rnacentral:rRNA from 1 species
UCGGAUUGUAGGCUGCAACCCGCCUACAUGAAGUUGGAAUUGCUAGUAAUCGCAGAUCAGAAUGCUGCGGUGAAUACGUUCCCGGGCCUUGUACACACCGCCCGUCACACCAUGGGAGCCGGUAAUACCCGAAGUCAGUAGUCUAACCGCAAGGGGGACGCUGCCGAAGGUAGGAUUGGCGACUGGGGUGAAGUCGUAACAAGGUAAC